GCCCAUCUCCUGGCUAUCCCUCUCACAGUAGAAGCAGGAGCUGCCCAUCUGUGGAUGAGCCUUGAAGGAUACAUGGAACACCCUGCUGCAAUCAAUGCCUUUCUUGCCAAAGGAACAACAGAGACCCUUGACAUCUGUGAGCAAACAAAGGCUUAUCCACGCUACAGCUAUAACCUGGGCUUUCACACACAGACUGAAGGAACAUAUUUGGUCAUCACCAGGAAAAGAAGCUGGAAGUGCUUUACUGGAGCUGUUUGUUUGGCAUUAGUAAGAUUAAACGUCAAAGGUUGAAAAGAGAAUGUAAAUGAACUGGGCACAAUCCUAACACUGGCUAAAGCUGCAGGAAGACCCCCAUUCAGACUCAGGAAUUUCUUUCUGAUGUACACCUUCCCUGUAGUCUCCCAGCUGAGGUCCAGAGAUGGGAAAAAAAUGUAGCAUGAAUAGCUGGGAGAAGCUCUAAGACAGACUUUGGACUGCCCAUGUUGAACCAGAAUGGCAGAUGUCCCUUAAGGUAUCAUCUCAACCACCUUCAUGACAGAAGGUCAUGUAGUUAAGCAUAUGCUGAGAAAAAAGUCAACACGAGAAGCUAAUUCAGGUGAGAGAAGGAAUCUGAAGGAGGCCACGUCAACUGCAGGAGCAAAAUGGGGUGCUCUGACACAGAAUGAAGAUGGGAGAUAGGAGGAACACGCUGAUUUAAAGGAAGCAUUGCUGAAGAUCAGCAUUCCCAGGGGUGAAAACCAAUAUGAGGACCUAAUGGAUGCGCUGCCAUUUGGCAAUAAAGACCAUUUUCCUGCCCAGG